rnacentral:rRNA from 1 species
CCCUUAGACGUUCUGGGCCGCACGCGCGCUACACUGACCAGUGCAACAAGCAUCCGUCCUUGGCCGACAGGCCCGGGCAAUCUUUGAACGCUGGUCGUGAUGGGGAUAGACUUUUGCAAUUUUUGGUCUUCAACGAGGAAUUCCUAGUAAACGCAAGUCAUCAACUUGCAUUGAUUACGUCCCUGCCCUUUGUACACACCGCCCGUCGCUCCUACCGAUUGAGUGGUCCGGUGAGGCUUUGGGAUCUGAGCGGAAAGAGCGUUUCGCUGUUUCUGCUCGGAAAACUCAGUCGAACCUUAUCAUUUAGAGGAAGGAGAAGUCAUAACA